rnacentral:ncRNA from 1 species
AGGAGCCGUAUGAGGUGAAAAUUUCAUGUACGGUUCUAGAACGAAGAUUCUCUUAAUCGAAUAAGAACCGUAACGGAUGUCAGCUCAAUCCGAAGGAAAUUAUGCGAAAGCUUUACAGAAUUAUUAUCUAUCUAUGCAACUAGAAAUCAAUCCCUACGAUCAAAGUUAUAUACUCAAUAAUAUAGGCCUUAUUCACAC